CUACGAAAUUGGCGUCACAAAUUUUAACGAAAUUUGCAAUGUAUUUUUCACUCUUUAGUGCUUGAAAAUUGAAAUAUUUGCUAAAAUUGACUGGGAAUACUUAGAGUUUUCAUCGUAGAAUGGCGUGGUUAUAUUUAUUUGAUCCUCGACUAAAAUGUUUAGCUGUAUUAUUGCUAAACAUGCCGUUUUUGAGAAUUAGGUUCGCAACUAGGUU